rnacentral:sRNA from 12 species
UGGGCUGGCUGAAAAGCCCUGGUCCACCGAAUGGCGGGGAUUUCCCCG